rnacentral:tRNA from 1 species
GGAAGGGAGCCGGAUACGGCUGGCCGGCGCACACUGCUAACGUGUUGGCCCGAAAGGGUGUGAGGGUUCGAAUCCCUCUCCUUCCG